rnacentral:rRNA from 1 species
CCUACGGGUGGCAGCAGUGGGGAAUAUUGCACAAUGGGGGAAACCCUGAUGCAGCGACGCCGCGUGAGUGAAGAAGUAUCUCGGUACGUAAAGCUCUAUCAGCAGGGAAGAAAAUGACGGUACCUGACUAAGACGCCCCGGCUAACUACGUGCCAGCAGCCGCGGUAAUACGUAGGGGGCAAGCUUUAUCCGGAUUUACUGGGUGUAAAGGGAGCGUAGACGGCAGCACAAGUCUGGAGUGAAAUCCCGGGGCUUAACCCCGGAACUGCUUUGGAAACUGUGCGGCUGGAGUGCAGGAGGGGUAAGCGGAAUUCUUAGUGUAGCGGUGAAAUGCGUAGAUAGUAGGAGGGACUCCGGUGGCGAGGGCGGCUUACUGGACUGUAACUGACGUUGAGGCUCGAAAGCGUGGGGAGCAAACAGGAUUAGAUACCCCUGUAGUC